CCCGCCGUACCUCAGUUGGUCAGAGGAUUGCAAUUCCGAUUGCGAGUGUCGCAGGUUCGAGUCCUGCCGGUGGGA
rnacentral:tRNA from 1 species